UUGAUCGUGCAAAGGUAGCAUAAUAAUUAGUUUUUUAAUUGAGAACUGGUAUGAAUGGUUGGACGAGGAAAAGGCUGUCUCAAUUUAAUUUUAAUUAGAAUUUUAUAUUUAAGUUAAAAAGCUUAAAUAUGUUUAAAAGACGAGAAGACCCUAUAGAGUUUUAUAUAAAAUAAAUUUUUAAUAUAGAAGUAUUUAAAAUUUAUUAAUUUAUUUUGUAUUUAGUUGGGGUGACUAAAAAAUUUAAUUAACUUUUUUUAUUUAAUUUAACAUUGAUUUAUGAAUAAGUGAUCCAUAUAUUAUGAUUAAAAGAUUAAAUUACCUUAGGGAUAACAGCGUUAUUUUUUUUGAGAGUUCUUAUCGAAAAAAAAGUUUGCGACCUCGAUGUUGGAUUAAAAUAAACUUUUGGUGUAGCAGCUAAAAUAGUUGGGUCUGUUCGACCUUUAAAAUUUUACAUGAUCUGAGUUUAAACCGGCGUGAGCCAGGUUGGUUUCUAUCUUUAAAUAAUUUAAAUAUUUUAGUACGAAAGGACCAAGUAUU
rnacentral:rRNA from 1 species